AUGGGCCCUCAACACCCAUCAAUGCAUGGUGUUCUUCGACUGAUCGUUACUCUCGAUGGUGAGGAUGUUAUUGAUUGUGAACCCAUAUUAGGCUAUUUACACCGGAUGAUGAUAAAUUCUCAUGUCCGGUUCCUUUGGGGGAUGGAUCCUAAAGAGUUCACCUAUCGCAAUAACAAAGAAACCAGACUUCUCGGAAACAUCAGGAACAUAACAGAUAUUUCUUGGUUUCAACUUUGCGACAUCAAAAGAGAAAGACUAGAAAAGGAAUAUAUAGAACAAGAACCUUUUUAA
rnacentral:rRNA from 1 species